UCUCACUGGAGGCAACAUCUUGCUGGAUGGUGCUAUUGUGAAGUUCUUGUGUGGCUGGCUUUGUGAACCCUGGACUGGAACUGAACUUAAACAAUAAUGACUUCAACCUGGAAAAAGGCUUACGGCUCAGACAAAACUAGCCUAAAUCUAACCUUCAGUUUGGAGUCUUGGAUAAUGAGUCAGCAGAAAAACUGAAGAAACAUGCCCAAGAAGAAAUGAAGUAAUUUUAGAGAUGUUGCAGUGAUCAAUACAUCCAUCGGGUUCAUCAUCCAUCAUCCUGACCCACCUCUGUCAUGAAAUAUCUAAUGUUAUGAAAUAUAUUAUGUAUGGUUUAAGUGAGAAAGGUGUACAAAUUAGGCUGAAGAUACCAUCCUAAGGAAUAAGGCCUAGAAAACAACUACAAUUCAUGGACUGUAAUUUAGAAUUGCUGAUGAGACCUGUGACAAAUGAUUAACUGUUGACAUUGCUGACUUGAGGAACUCUUGGUGGAAAAAAAACUUGUUUACAUUGCCAAAGACAAUGGUUCUUUUAAGUAAGGAGGUCAACAUGGUGGCUCCUUAUGUUUGUCAACAUUAUGAAGGAAGCAAACAAGGCUCCUUGAUAAGGAAAACUAAUUAAGCAAAGUAUACAUCUCUCCAGGAACUGAUGGAAUCAACAUGUUUUAGCUGUCUCUAUCAAUAAUUUACAACUUUCAGAACCAAAUCAACAGAAAACACUACAUAAAAGGACCCUUUUUUUCUCAGAAAAAGUGUGUCAGACCAACUGAACACCAUUUUCUGAACACCAUUAUGAAAAGCCAUUUCCUCUCAAGAAGCUGAUCAACUUCAACAAGGAUGGCAAGAAUGCUUAAUGAAUGAAUGAUGAAUGAAUGUUAGAUUAUAUAUGUAAAUAUUGAUGCAAUAUCCCCUUUUGUCUAUGUAAUCAAUAUAAUUAUUAUAAAACCCAAUACAGGAGUCUGUCUACUUCUUUCUCUGAAAUUGCCU
rnacentral:lncRNA from 11 species